rnacentral:rRNA from 1 species
AUUCCUACGGGAGGCAGCAGGCGCGUAAAUUACCCAAUCCUGACUCAGGGAGGUAGUGACAAGAAAUAACGGACCGGCCUUUUAGGCUCGGGAUUGCAAUGAGCCGAAUUUACACCCCUUAGCGAGGACCCAUUGGAGGGCAAGUCUGGUGCCAGCAGCCGCGGUAAUAAU